rnacentral:rRNA from 1 species
AUACGGAGGGUGCGAGCGUUAUCCGGAUUUAUUAGGUUUAAAGGGUGUGUAGGCGGGAGCCUAAGUCAGUGGUGAAAUCUCACAGCUUAACUGUGAAACUGCCAUUGAAACUGGGUUUCUUGAGUAUAGAUGAGGUAGGCGGAAUGUGUAAUGUAGCGGUGAAAUGCAUAGAUAUUACACAGAACACCGAUUGCGAAGGCAGCUUACUAAGCUAUUACUGACGCUGAUGCACGAAAGCGUGGGUAGCGAACAGGAUUAGAAACCCCAGUAGUCC